rnacentral:lncRNA from 10 species
CUGAGAGAACCACGAAACUGCCAAACCCAGUGGGUCCGAAUAUUCCUUCAAGAUUUCAAGAAAGCCGACCUUGCGGACGGCCACGGGGCCAACUGCAGUAUGGACUAGUCGUUCUUGUAGUUGCACAGAUGACCAUGGACAAAAACAGCCCUGCUCGGCUGAUUCCUAAGCCCUGAUACCCGAAUGAGCUGAUGCUGGGCCUGGAUCCGGCUGUGGGAGUGUCCUGAUGAGCCCUGGGCCGGCGGAGCAAAAUCCCCCUAUUCUGCUGAAUUUAAUGGAGCAGAGGAGCUGAGUGUUUGGGAGUAUGAAGCCCCCGAAGCCAUGAUAACCACAAAGGCUGAAGACUGCACCCGCUACCCACAUCAGUCAAAUAGCACUGAUUCCACAGAUUAUACUUUCAACAUCUUCAGAUCCAGGUGACUCAGUUCAGGUCAUGUAAGUCUUAUUGAAUGAUGCAGUCAGCCAUAUUUGAGGCCUGAGUUAGCCGAUGUGGAUUUGAAGCUUCCUAUUCUCAGCACAAAAUCUCAGGUUUGUUUGAGUUAUCAACUUUGUCACGCAGUUACCCUCUCCUUCUUCAGGGCCUUGUGAAGGCAAAACUGCAAAAUGAGCAGGUGCAUUAUUUCCCUGUGCAUCACUUCAUCUCACCCUCUGCAAGCACCUCUUCCCUUUCC